UCUCCGCAAGCUGUAGUUGCUUUCCCCCCUGCUUGUAAUCUGAUCGCCACCACGUCACCCUUUCCGUUCUCCAUACAUCUCCGGUUCUCCGCUUCCAUUUUCCCUUCUCUCUCUUUCUCUAGGGAGAUAAAAGACUCGCCGUUGGCUCACGUGAGAAAUGGGAGGCCGCGGCAACCACGAUCUCCGCCUCGAAUCCUAGAGAAAGGAGGGAUUUUGGGAGGAAAAGAGUGCGAGCGAUCGCUUUCUUCCCUUGUUUGUCGGGUUUCUCUUCUCCUUUUCUGUCUCUUUGUGGGUGGUUUCGUGGAUGGUGGCGAUGGAGGAGAGCGCGGAGAGUUGCGGCAGUCGGGCGGCGGACGCGGCCCAGGCGUCGCAGCCGCGGCAGCAGCAGCGGCGCAAGCUGGAGGCCUACAACGAGGCGCUCCGCCGCCUCAGGGAGGCCGGGCGGCCGGAGGCCCUGUCGCCGUCCUUCGAGGACGAGCUCUGGGCCCACUUCAAUCGCCUCCCGGCCCGCUAUGCUAUGGAUGUGAAUGUGGAGAGGGCAGAAGAUGUUCUGACACAUAUGAAAUUGUUGGAGCUGGCGCAUGAUCCUGCCAAUAGGCCUGCCUUUGCAGUUCGAUUAGUUCAGGUGUCCCCAGUUCUUGAUGGAAAGCGAGCUGAUUUUUUUGAUUCCAGCAAACCAGGGGAGGAAGAUGCUCAAUCUACUUCAAAUUAUUUUAUCAGGCAAAGCAGUCACCCCCCUCCGGCCUUUGGCUCAUCACCAAAUCUAGAGGCACUUGCCCUUGAAGCCAGCAAGCAAUAUCUUCAAGAUGGAGAUGAUGCUAGAAAUGCCUUUGCACUCUUUCCCAGCAGGCCCAUGCAUGAAAUCACCUUUUCAACUGAUGACAAGCCAAAGCUUCUCAGUCAGCUGACUGCGUUGCUUGCUGAGGUUGGCCUUAACAUCCAAGAAGCACAUGCAUUUUCAACAAAUGAUGGUUACUCGUUAGAUGUGUUUGUCGUUGAUGGCUGGCAUUAUGAGGAAACGGAGCAGCUCAGGGAUGCAUUACAGAAGGGACUUCAGAAGAUUGAGAAGCAGGCAUGGUCAAAGACGUGUUCAUGGUCUCCUAUAUUGGAAACUGCACAAACUGGGGAGGUGUCUCAACCAGACCAUGUCCAAAUACCUACAGAUGGGACUGAUGUGUGGGAAAUUGAUUUCAAGCUGCUGAAGUUUGGAAAUAAAGUGGCAUCUGGAUCAUAUGGUGAUCUUUACCAUGGAGCAUAUUGUAGCCAGGAUGUUGCUAUUAAAGUACUCAAGCCUGAGCAUGUAAAUGCAGAUAUGCAGAGAGAAUUUGCUCAGGAAGUCUAUAUUAUGAGAAAAGUUCGCCACAAGAAUGUCGUGCAGUUUAUUGGUGCAUGCAGCAAACCUCCAAACUUAUGUAUUGUUACAGAGUUUAUGCAAGGUGGAAGUGUGUAUGACUUUCUUCAUAAACAGAAAGGUGUUUUUAAGCUUCCAGCUUUGCUUAGGGUAGCAAUUGAUGUAUCGAAGGGAAUGAACUACUUGCACCAGAAUAAUAUUAUCCACAGGGACCUAAAGGCUGCCAAUCUUCUGAUGGAUGAAAAGGAGGCUGUCAAGGUUGCAGAUUUUGGUGUUGCACGUGUUAAAUCACAAUCUGGAGUUAUGACUGCUGAAACGGGAACAUAUCGUUGGAUGGCCCCUGAGGUCAUAGAACACAAGCCCUAUGAUCACAAGGCUGAUGUUUUUAGCUUCGGAAUUUUGCUGUGGGAGCUGCUAACAGGAAAGCUUCCAUAUGAGUACCUAACACCGCUACAAGCAGCAGUAGGUGUGGUUCAAAAGAUGGUGGCGAUUUCUGCUCUUUGCAGGGCCUGAGACCAACCAUACCAAAGCAUACCAAUCCUAAACUUGCUGAACUGCUUGAAAAAUGCUGGCAGCAGGACCCAGCUCAAAGGCCAGACUUUUCAGAAAUAUUGGAGAUACUCCAGUUUUUAGCCAAGGAGGUCGCUGAUGAACCUGAGGAUCGUCGCAAGGAAAAGUCAUCGGGCAGGUUUCUCUCAGUUCUGAGGCGGGGCCACUGAAGGAGAGAUGUCCGCGAAUCAUCAUUUGUAUGAUCUCAUCAUGGGCAAUUUCCAGUCCUUGGUAGGAUUAUACCUUAAGCUGUACAGUAUUUAAUUUGACGACCUAGUUUUUUGUUCCUAAAUUUUGAGUUGCAAUUCUUUUUACAUUUAACUGCUGCCAUGUCUAUUUUUUAUCAUAUUCGAAUGGAAUGUCAUCAAAAGUGAUCAUCUCUUCCCA